rnacentral:rRNA from 1 species
GACGAACGCUGGCGGCGUGCUUAACACAUGCAAGUCGAACGAUGAGGCCGGAGCUUGCUCUGGUGAAUUAGUGGCGAACGGGUGAGUAACACGUGAGUAACCUGCCCUUGACUCUGGAAUAACUGCGGGAAACUGUAGCUAAUACCGGAUACGACCCUCGGAGGCAGCCCCUGGGGGUGGAAAGAAUUUCGGUCAAGGAUGGACUCGCGGCCUAUCAGCUAGUUGGUGAGGUAAAGGCUCACCAAGGCGACGACGGGUAGCCGGCCUGAGAGGGUGACCGGCCACACUGGGACUGAGACACGGCCCAGACUCCUACGGGAGGCAGCAGUGGGGAAUAUUGCACAAUGGGCGCAAGCCUGAUGCAGCAACGCCGCGUGAGGGAUGACGGCCUUCGGGUUGUAAACCUCUUUUAGCAGGGAAGAAGCGAAAGUGACGGUACCUGCAGAAAAAGCACCGGCUAACUACGUGCCAGCCGCCGCGGUAA